rnacentral:misc_RNA from 1 species
UUAUGCAUCUUUGCUCCGUAAUUGUCGUUAUCUUUCCGCAGUGGUCUCAGAUUGUAUUUCGUCAGAGUUAUCGAAGUUUCUGCUCUACGUUUCUCAUUUCUUCGUUGCACUUUGUGUUUGGUAGAAUUCUUUGAUCCGAAUUUUCUGCAUAUUAGAAAUUUCCGUGUAGGAAUUCCAUAGAUUGACAUAGCAAUCGUUGUGGAGAGACCGAAACAAAAUGGCCGCAGCCGCGGCCGCUGCAUUACUCGAUGAGCUUAUGGGCAGAAACAGAAAUGUUUUGCCUAACGAGAAGCCCAAAGAACUCAAUUGGGAAGAUCCCGAGUUUUGCAAGCUGUACCUAGUCAAAUUCUGUCCUCAUGACUUAUUUGUUAAUACAAGAGCAGACUUAGGCGCAUGUCCCAAAGUGCAUGACGAUGAAGCUAGAGAAUUGUUCGAAAAGGCUCAAUAUUCAUACCGCAAGCAGCAAUAUGAAGAUGAAUUUAUCAGGUAUUGCCAGAGUAUGUUGAACGAGGUAGAGCGAAAAAUCGUAAAGGGAAAACAGCGAUUGGCGUUAAUUGGAAGAACAGAAGCACCGACAUUGACGCCAGCGCAAACGCAACGAAAUGAGGAGCAGAUUGCUCUUCUAACGGAAAAAAUAAACAAAUUAGUGGAGGAGGCUGAGCAAAGUGGAAUUCAAGGCAAUGUGGAACAAGCGCAAGGCCUAAUGCGUCUCUGUGAUCAGCUGAAGGAAGAGCGCGAAACUUUAAGGAAAUCCAAUGAUAAUAGUCAUUACAAUCAAACUGCUGAAUUAGCUGCUGCACAGGAGAAGCAGAUGGAAGUAUGCGACGUAUGUGGUGCAUUUCUUAUCGUGGGCGAUGCUCAGCAACGAAUCGAUGAUCAUCUAAUGGGAAAACAACAUGUGGGCUACGCGAGACUAAAAAGCGCCCUUCAAGAGAUUAUGAGCAAACGUGAGAAAGCGCGCGAUGAGAAAGAGCAGAGAAGGGAAGAAGAGCGGAAGCAAAGAGCACGAGCAAACGAGGAGCUCGACAGACGGCGGAGAGACAGCGACAGAGACAGAGACCGCGACAGAGAUAGAGACAAACGUCGUAGGCGAAUGGACGAUGAGAAGAGCCGCCACGACUCGAGCGGUCAUCGAAAUUCCGGACACAGAAGUAGAAGCAGAUCGCGAGAUAGGCAUCAUCGAGACGAAGAUAGCCACCGACGGCAUGGUAGAGAUAAGGGAAAUCGCGAUCAUCGGAGUUCCAGCCAUCACAAUCGUCGCCGGCACCGCUCGCGAAGUCGAAGUCACAAGUAACUUCUCUUGAUUGGUUAGUGAGUGAGAAGUAAGCCAGGUAUGCACCAAACAAUAUAACCAUAUUCGUCUCAAUUACUGUACAGGUACUCUUACGAUCCAGGUGAGUUGCCAUUCCGAUGCACAUAAUACAUAUACAUGAUAAUAUAAUCUGUGAUGUUUGAAGCGCCGCGUAAGUCACACAGCAAGUCCGUCUCAUUUCUAUCUCUGAAACACACUCUGUCUCUCUCCGCCUCUCUUUGCUUCAUGUCCCAACAGAAUAGGAACAAACGCCUCUAGUUUAAAAAAAAAUUUCAUCAAAGAAUCGACUUCGCUGUCAAUGCUAUUUCAUUAAGAUGAAAAUCUCUAACUAAUGGCGUAACCAGGUAUAAUGCUGAGUGAGCACAAUUGUAAAGUCGUCAGAUCAAUAGGUGCAUUUAUCAUUUAUAUAGUAUUAUAUAUAUCGUCAGUGAAAAACAAGAGAGAAGAAACAGAAGAAUGCAAUAGUAAUAUAAUUUGCUUUGAUAAUUUUUAAAAAUUAAUCUUAAAUUUAAGAAAAUUGAAUCUUUCCUUUACGAGAUUCUUUAGAAAAUCAGUCGAACCAUUUUUGCAAUAUUUUAAAAAUCUAAACUUAAUUUUCUUGACUUUUAAUUUUAUAUUUUCAAGAUUCUGUUUUGUCAGUACAGUGUUUGCCAAGGUUUUAUUUAGCAACUUUUUAAGAAUUUGGGAACAUAAAUCAUUUCAUUUUCACUUCAUACAUUUUCCUCGCAUCUUCAAGAAACUUGUCGAUUAAUUAAAAAUAGAAAAUUUUAAUCGCGUCGCGUAGAAGCUGAAUACACUUGACACAUCUCCAAGUAAUCGUUCCGAUAAAUUCUCGAUUUGUCUGUAAAGCAAGCUGGGAGAAGGUAUACCUAUGCUUGCUUUCACCGGUUAUAACUCUACUUUGAAACAGCAGAAGGGUGUAAGUCCAAAAGAUGAUUUUUUUUCCAGGAAAAGCCCGCAAAGGUCCGGAGAAUCGGUGGACGCGCGCUUUCAAGAUGAAUUAAAUAACUGUGAAUAAAUGCAAUCAGGUUGAAAUAUAUUUAAGAUAAAAUAGAUUCAUGCUGUUUAUCCCAAAAUAAAAAAACUUGUUUCUAUAAAAAUACAGCGUCUUCUUUCAUUAUAAUUUUUUUUUUUAUUAUUAUGGUUUUAUCGCGUUUUGUUUUUCAGAUUAUUUGAAUUCGAGACUCACUUCGGGAACUUGCUUGAUUCUAUAACUUGUAAAAGGCCGUCACACUUGUUGCGACGAAAAGAGAGAACGGCGAAGCCGAUAGUUUUGGACUUACUCCCUUCCGCUUCUCCGGCGCGGACCUAUCUUCGUAGGUUCGUUAAAAAGUGCGAUCUAAUCUUGCUCGCGUGUCGAUAAGAGAGAAAGAGAGACAGAAAGAGAUUUUGCGGUUUAGCGCGGAGGGGACACAGCUCUCAGUGCCCGCUUCAUAGAGCUUCGUCCACGACUGCAAAUGCACGAGUGCGCAACUGUGAGUGCGCCCUGCAAACGUGUGACUGACUAUACGAACCUCUAGCUUCUGCCACGCAAUUGACGAGGAAGAAGAGAAGAGAGGAGCCCUUCGAGGAAUUGUACAAGAUGCUGCUUAACGUACGCUAAGGUAAACAUUUUGUAUAAUCUUGACGAUGAAUGAUAGGGAGGGGUGAGGGAGGGGGAGGGGGACAAACGCGAACAAGUUUCUGUUAAAAUCAGAUACCAAUCGACGUACAUUAUUUCUGAACAAUUGUGUUAUCUUAGGCCGUCUAUACAUAAACAGAACGAUCCACAAGGUAAAUUGUCUAAUUGCUAAUUAAAUAAUGAGACGUAACAUUAUAAUACUCAUAAGAUUGUUAUUUGGAACUAAUAAAACGAUGUCGCAGGCC